rnacentral:rRNA from 1 species
AUUGAACGCUGGCGGCAGGCCUAACACAUGCAAGUCGAGCGGAUGAAGGGAGCUUGCUCCUGGAUUCAGCGGCGGACGGGUGAGUAAUGCCUAGGAAUCUGCCUGGUAGUGGGGGAUAACGUCCGGAAACGGGCGCUAAUACCGCAUACGUCCUGAGGGAGAAAGUGGGGGAUCUUCGGACCUCACGCUAUCAGAUGAGCCUAGGUCGGAUUAGCUAGUUGGUGGGGUAAAGGCCUACCAAGGCGACGAUCCGUAACUGGUCUGAGAGGAUGAUCAGUCACACUGGAACUGAGACACGGUCCAGACUCCUACGGGAGGCAGCAGUGGGGAAUAUUGGACAAUGGGCGAAAGCCUGAUCCAGCCAUGCCGCGUGUGUGAAGAAGGUCUUCGGAUUGUAAAGCACUUUAAGUUGGGAGGAAGGGCGGUAAGUCAAUACCUUGCUGUUUUGACGUUACCAACAGAAUAAGCACCGGCUAACUUCGUG